GAGAGGGAGGCAGUUAACCAAGAAAUCACCAUGUUAUUGCACCUAUCCCAUAACCUUUGUUGAGCCACAUUAGUGGCUGGUCGGGAGCACGUCCCAUCAACAAAACCAAUCUUAUUUUUAGCAGAUAAUGCAACAAAUAUUUUUCUCCUCCAACCCCCAUAACCACUUCGCGAGAAGGGAGUAGGAACAAGAGAGACCCCAGGCACAUCAGAGGGGUAUACAAAUAGAGGACUGGUAGAGUCUACCGAGGAGGAGGUACCAGUAUUCGUAUUAGAAGUCAUGAUUAAUGCACCAGUUUGAAAAGAAAAACAGUUUCGACAAGCAAAAUAUCACGAAACCAGAUAUUCACACACGAAGCCAAAUAAUCACACACAAAGUAUACAAUACAGAGAAAACCCUAGGUACAAAACCCUAGGUGUAACCGUUGCAAACCUUACUGGAAAUAUAGCCAGGGAUGUCGGAAAGUCACCCUAAACAUCCACUGAGUGAGAAUCGAGCCACCGGAUAGCAGUAAAACUCUAGGUUAAACCACCAGAAACCCUAGAAGCCGAUAUGUCACCCAAAAAUCACCCAAAAUCAUCAGAAAAUCUCCUAGAACGUUCGAGUGAAGAAAAUACACUCAGAUAUCACGAUGAAAAACUCAGAAAGGCGUACGAUUUAUACCGGAAUCAUCAUCGACCAUAAGGUCGCAGAAACACCCCCAAAAAUCUCGAAAC
rnacentral:lncRNA from 1 species